CCCCAUGACUUCCACACCUGCUAUACGGCCAAACAAAGAGGUGUUUCCAUCUUAGUAAGUAAGGAUGUAGUAUUCUCUCUGGUUCGCAAGAUAACUGAUAGAAAAGGGCGCUACCUGAUUUUGCAAUGCCUUCUUAAUAAUAACCCAUAUACGCUAGUUAAUAUUUACAGCCCUAAUGAGAAUCAGCAUGAAUUCUUGACCUCGACCUUGGCCUUACUUGAAAUGUAUGAAUAUGGGGAGGUAAUCAUUGGAGGCGACACGAACUUCUUACUAGAUAGUGAGUCUGACUCGUCCACUGCUGCAGGGCUUUCAAG